AGAAGCGCAGCGAGCAGAACCGUGAAAGAGCUCGUCUACGCCGUGUCAAUUCUGCAGCCCGCGCACAAGAAGAUGUUCGUGCAGCCAAGCGCAAGCAGCAGCUGCGUACCGAGGAUCCGGCAGCCUACGAAACUGUUGUUUAAUGAACCAUUGGGAUUAACCCAGUGAUAAACACCGGGCUCGCCCGUUUCAGCUUCGCUAACCAUCUGUACGGAGUGCUUAGGCGGUGCUUUCUUUUCUUUUUUUUUUUGUCCCAGACGAGACAAACUGUCGAUCUGUCGGCUGUAGCUCGGGAUCGAGGUUAUGCUGCAUGCCCGGCUCCACCACGAACGUACGAUGUGCCGGUCAGAACCAAAGCUGUGAAAGCUCAUGGGGAUCCUUUUGUGGCUCAAAUAGUCAUAUCGAAUGCAAUGGCAGAGGAGACAUAUCUAUAUGUCAUUGUGCCUGAAGCCAGCGGUCGUAUGCAGUAGCAUGAAAACUGGGCAUCCGUUUUCUGGUCAUCCGGACGUAUAGGCGGACUCCACUGGUUGCUUCGAUUAUUUCAACUUUCGUUGUCUCAGCACACCUCCACUGGCACACUUGCGAGUUGGCUUUACAGCUAAUAUGAAAGCACUAAAUGGUUAUAUGAAUUUCUUCAUUCAUUUCCUAAGGAACAAUAAAUAGAAAACAGAACGAA